rnacentral:rRNA from 1 species
CCGGCGCACGGGUGAGUAACGCGUAUGCAACUUACCUAUCAGAGGGGGAUAACCCGGCGAAAGUCGGACUAAUACCGCAUGAAGCAGGGAUCCCGCAUGGGAAUAUUUGCUAAAGAUUCAUCGCUGAUAGAUAGGCAUGCGUUCCAUUAGGCAGUUGGCGGGGUAACGGCCCACCAAACCGACGAUGGAUAGGGGUUCUGAGAGGAAGGUCCCCCACAUUGGUACUGAGACACGGGCCAA